rnacentral:lncRNA from 13 species
UCUGAUGGGUCAAAACUGGCUCAACUACACUGUGUGAGAGGCAGCUGUUGGGUGUACAAGAUGUCAUAACCCAACAAAGAUCUCCAAAGUGCCCACAGACUAAUUUCUGGGGCCUUCCAUCAGAGGACUGAGCAUGACCCACAAUGCUGCAACAGAUUGACAGUGCUUCUUUAGACAGGGUAAAACUCCACCCCAGGGGCGGUACCUGGGUGUUCCCAUGUAAAGCUGAACCUGUUGAACCUGUUGAACUCUAGGUCUUGUGGCCUUCCCCCACCCCCAGGGAUCAACACUUUGUACAUAUAACAUCAAAAUUGCAACAACCAAAUCUUGUUUCUGGAUCCAUGGGUAGUGGUAUCUUUCUGCUCUUACCCUUUCUUUCUCUUUCUUUCUUUUCCUUAUAAAUUUUCUUAAGUGUUAUUUUUAUGCUUUUUAUUGCUAUAUUACUAUAGAUAAUAACCAAAGUGGAUACAUAUCUCCUUUCCAUUGUAACCAAAUUGUUCUAAAAUAAACACUAGACCCACACAAACACACACACAUAUAUAUAUAUAUUUUUUUUUUUUUUUUCCUAAACAGUGGUCAUUUAGUGUUGUUUCACUCUAAUCUGCCCCAGGGGAUCUAUUAUUAACAAGAACCUUACCCUUGCAUUCAGGGGUGGGUUGUAACAGCAGAGAACGAGGAAGAAACUGCUCUUCACAGGAUCAAGGUACCAGUACAAAUCAUCCAGGAAAGUAUCUUGUUGUAGGACAUCACCUGAUAUUGGCCUGUUUAUAUGCCAUUUAUCCUCUCCCCUCGCCAGUCAGCUCUGAAGAUGUUCCACAAGAAUAAUCAAGAUGAAGGAAAACCAAAUUGGAUACUGUUGCCUAACUAAAAGCCACAGCAAUAAAACAGUUCCUUGAAUACAUGGCUUAUGAAAUGGGUGACCCAGGCAUUCUGAAUUUAUAGCUACAUGUGUAGAUUGACUUGUGGAUAACAAUAAACAUACAUGUAAUUACCCCUUGGCUGACAGAAAAGGGUCUGGGGGAUACAAAGUGAGAAAGAAGAGGAAAAAUGCAGAAGAAUGACAUGACAAGUAACAAAUUUAGCUAUUUUUUACAACCAACAGUAAAAUAUUGAUUGUUAAUGGUCUUUGGCAUGGGAAAGAGUUCCCU